rnacentral:rRNA from 1 species
UCUUUUCCUUUUGUUUCAGCAGCCGCGGUAAAACGUAGGUCACAAGCGUUGUCCGGAAUUACUGGGUGUAAAGGGAGCGCAGGCGGGAAGACAAGUUGGAAGUGAAAUCCAUGGGCUCAACCCAUGAACUGCUUUCAAAACUGUUUUUCUUGAGUAGUGCAGAGGUAGGCGGAAUUCCCGGUGUAGCGGUGGAAUGCGUAGAUAUCGGGAGGAACACCAGUGGCGAAGGCGGCCUACUGGGCACCAACUGACGCUGAGGCUCGAAAGUGUGGGUAGCAAACAGG